rnacentral:lncRNA from 1 species
GCUUGGAUGUCAAUUCUGUACUUUAUAUAGCGUUAUUUCAGUUCAUUUUUUUUUUUUGGGGGGGGGGGGUUCUGUAUAAAUGAGUUUCAUUCGAUUGCACAGCAUAGGGGUGAAUUAGAAAAAUACUGUGUGAUGCCUUGUGUCAUUUCGACAGACAGCAUAAUCAAACGGUGACAUUAUUGUUUGUUGCUUUGUGUCAUUGAGACAGAUAGGAUAAUCAAACGGUGAAAUAUACUGUGUGUUGCCUUGUGUCAUUGAGACAGACAGCAUAAUAAAACGGUGACAUAUAUUGUUUGUUGCCUGGUGUCAUUGAGACAGACAGCAUAAUCAAACGAGGAAAUAUAUUGUCUGGUACCUGGUGUCAUUGAGACUGACAUCAUACUAAAUCGGAGGGAUAUAUUCUAUGAUGAUUUGUGUCAUUGGGACAACAAUGUUGAUCCAAGGGUAGGUUUUACUACAUAUUGUCUGGUGAUAUUUAGACAGACAUGAUAGCUAAUCGGAGGUUUAUAUCACAUAUUUUAUGGUGUUUUAGAGACAGACAGCAUCAUUCAUAAUCAGAUGGUGGAUUUUAUUACAUAUUGUAUGGUGUCAUUGAGACAGACAUGUUAACCAAUCAUUGGAUUCUAUCACAAUGUGUCUGGUGUCAUUGAGAUAGUCUUGAUAAUCAAUCGGAGUAAUAUAUAACAUAUUUGCCUGUGUCAUUGAUGCAGACAGCAUAAUCAAUCAGAGGAUUAUAGUAUAUGUUGCCUCGUGUCACUAAGACAAACAGCAUAAUAAAUCAAAGGACUAUGUUAUAUAUUGUCUAAUGUCACUGAGACAGACUGCUUAAUAAAUCAAAGGACUUUUUAUAGGUGGAUUUUAUUGCAUAUUGUAUGAUGUCAUUCCAACAGACAUGGUAACCAAUCUAUGGGUUUUAUUACAUUGUGUCUGGUGUCAUUGAGACAGUCUUGAUAAAAAAUCAGGGGAAUAUUAUUAUAUAACAUAUUUGCUUGUGUCUUUGAGGCAGACAGCAUAAUUAAUCAGAGGAUAAUAGUAUAUGAUGCCUCGUGUCAUCAAGACAUACAUCAUACUAAAUCGGAGGAUUAUAUAACAUAUUAACUUGUGUAUUCCAGGCAAUCACAGGAUUUUGCUUAGGUUUGUUGUGUCAUUUGGAUAGAAAACCUAAUCAAUUGGUGAAAUCAAUGUUGUUGUCUUACGUCAUUGAGACAGACACCAAAGUCAAUCGGUUGAUUUUAUUACAAGUUGUCUGGUGUAAUAUAUCAAACGAUGUAAUGUGGUGAACUCUUAAACCUUUAUAACAAUAUACCUUUUGGAACUAAACAAUAACACCAUGAAGACGUUUAUUCCUUCAUAACAGAUUAAAUCAUUCUGGCUCUAGGUUUAGUUUUUGUAUUGUAGGUUUAUUGGUUUAGGUUUAUGAUUACUAUUUAAUUGUCGUCGGUGUAUAAUAUGGAUCCUAUUUCACUAUGUUGAUAUACAACCACCAAGUGUAUUGUUAUUUAAACCCGCUACUUAACAGGCAAAUUAUUGGCUCCUUUUUAUUGAUACACAACCACCAUGUGUAUUGUUAUUUAAACC